UAACAAUCGAUUUACAGUAAAUCAGUUGAGCUUGUAAUGUUUCGCUUUAAAAGAAGUUGUCAAAGCUUCAACUCCAGAUUGUGAUGUCCGGAGUGACUGAUUUCUUUUUAAAAGAAAAGAAUCCCCAACGGCGCCAAUAGAAAGAAAACUGCCAGCGUGGCAUGUCAACCCUACAACAACUACUCACCCAAACUAAAGACCCACUCCCCACCACGGACAGGGCCAAUGUCAGUGUCACCAACAAGACCCCUUGCAGAGAGCGAGAAACACUACAUCGGACAAACAGGAAGGAAACUAACAAGAGUACAUGAACACCAACUGGCUACAAAAAGACACGACCCAUACACUCACAUCUCAAUCCACACGGACAAGGAGAACGACCAUUUCAACUGGGACACCACCAAAAUCCUGGGACAAGCUAGGCUGAGACAAGCACAAGAAUUCCUAGAAGCCUGGCACUCCACAAAAACAUGCUAUUAAUAAACACAUUGAACUCGACCCUGUAUACAUUCCACUAGGAAGGAAAACUGGAAGCGAGGCAAUCCAGCUCAGUGGACUCGAGUUUAAAAACCAGGCAGGAAAACACACCGAUGCUUCAGAGGCUGCACUGAGAAUGUUACCCAGCACGGUAAUGAAACGUCUGUGAUUCAAGAAACCAGCUCGGCGAGUCAGCCAACCUGGCCUUUCAAAAUGGUCACAAAAUCUGACAAGAUGGUUAUCAGAAGUCACGUGAAAAUUCCUAAUUCACCACUGCUUUAAAAAAAAGGAGAAAUUUGUGCUCAGAAUCAAGCCUAAAAGACGACAUUUGCAUUUUGUUUAACCUUUGGACAAGAUAACCCACCACAACUGGUCUUUCUGAAGAUGUCAAAUUCAAAGCUGAUGUAAGAACAAGAAACAGCAAAGGACAUCAACACAAUUCACUUUGUCUAGUGAAACAAGGCUCAUUUGAAAUUACAGCCUGUAAGUGGGUGAAAAUCCAGCAUAUGGGAUGCUGUGUGGGAAAAUUUAGCAAGAAAGUGAUAAAGCAGAAUAUUACUUUGAAGAAGAGCAACUGCAGAAUUCUGAGGAAUUUGGGAAUUUCGGUGAGCAAGUCAUAAGAAGUAGCAAAUAACCUAAAAGGCAAAUCAAAUGCUAUUGUUAGGGAGAAAUUUGGGUAUGACAUUAACUAACCUGCAAAUCCACACCAGUUGGGGAGGUGAUGGCCUAGUGGUAUUAUCACUGGCCUGUUAAUCUAGAGAAACUGAUAAAGUUCUGGGGAUCUGGAUUUGAAUCCUGCCAUGGCAGAUGGUGGAAUUUGAAUUCAAUAAGUAUCUGGAAUUAAGAGUCUAAUGACCAUGAAUCCAUCGUCAAUUGUUGGAAAAACCCAUCUGGUUCACUAAUGGCCUUUAGGGAAGGAAACUACCAUCCUUACCUGGUCUGGUCUACACGUGACUUCAGACCCACAGCAACAUAUAGUUGACUCUUCACCGUCCUCGGAGCAAUUACGAGUGAGCAAUAAAUGCUGCCCUAGCCAGCGACACCCUCAACCCGUGAAUGAAUAAAUAAAGAGGCUGGGACUAGAAUGCUACGGAAUAUUCAACUUUAUAAGCAAUAAUCAUUUAAGAUUCCUUUUCUAUUCAAGAAAGUAGUCAGGAUGUUUCUGUGAAAAUACCACCUGGCUGAACCAGCAUUAAACCUGAGGCCUUAUUUGGAAAUGGCAAGAAAGGAUGACCCUGUACCUAACAAGAACAAAAACGCAAUGAUGUUUAGUCUCAGACUGGAUUGAAGCACAGGCUUUGGAGGAAGAUAGGGGGUACCUGGGAAGAUGGGGAGUGGUGAGCCUAGAGGUA